ACGAACGCUGGCGGCGUGCUUAACACAUGCAAGUCGAACGGAAAGGCCCUGCUUUUGUGGGGUGCUCGAGUGGCGAACGGGUGAGUAACACGUGAGUAACCUGCCCUUGACUUUGGGAUAACUUCAGGAAACUGGGGCUAAUACCGGAUAGGAGCUCCUGCUGCAUGGUGGGGGUUGGAAAGUUUCGGCGGUUGGGGAUGGACUCGCGGCUUAUCAGCUUGUUGGUGGGGUAGUGGCUUACCAAGGCUUUGACGGGUAGCCGGCCUGAGAGGGUGACCGGCCACAUUGGGACUGAGAUACGGCCCAGACUCCUACGGGAGGCAGCAGUGGGGAAUAUUGCACAAUGGGCGGAAGCCUGAUGCAGCAACGCCGCGUGCGGGAUGACGGCCUUCGGGUUGUAAACCGCUUUCGCCUGUGACGAAGCGUGAGUGACGGUAAUGGGUAAAGAAGCACCGGCUAACUACGUGCCAGCAGCCGCGGUGAUACGUAGGGUGCGAGCGUUGUCCGGAUUUAUUGGGCGUAAAGGGCUCGUAGGUGGUUGAUCGCGUCGGAAGUGUAAUCUUGGGGCUUAACCCUGAGCGUGCUUUCGAUACGGGUUGACUUGAGGAAGGUAGGGGAGAAUGGAAUUCCUGGUGGAGCGGUGGAAUGCGCAGAUAUCAGGAGGAACACCAGUGGCGAAGGCGGUUCUCUGGGCCUUUCCUGACGCUGAGGAGCGAAAGCGUGGGGAGCGAACAGGCUUAGAUACCCUGGUAGUCCACGCUGUAAACGGUGGGUACUAGGUGUGGGGUCCAUUCCACGGGUUCCGUGCCGUAGCUAACGCUUUAAGUACCCCGCCUGGGGAGUACGGCCGCAAGGCUAAAACUCAAAGGAAUUGACGGGGCCCCGCACAAGCGGCGGAGCAUGCGGAUUAAUUCGAUGCAACGCGUAGAACCUUACCUGGGUUUGACAUGGAUCGGGAGUGCUCAGAGAUGGGUGUGCCUCUUUUGGGGUCGGUUCACAGGUGGUGCAUGGCUGUCGUCAGCUCGUGUCGUGAGAUGUUGGGUUAAGUCCCGCAACGAGCGCAACCCUUGUUCACUGUUGCCAGCACGUUAUGGUGGGGACUCAGUGGAGACCACCGGGGUCAACUCGGAGGAAGGUGGGGAUGACGUCAAGUCAUCAUGCCCCUUAUGUCCAGGGCUUCACGCAUGCUACAAUGGCUGGUACAGAGAGUGGCGAGCCUGUGAGGGUGAGCGAAUCUCGGAAAGCCGGUCUCAGUUCGGAUUGGGGUCUGCAACUCGACCUCAUGAAGUCGGAGUCGCUAGUAAUCGCAGAUCAGCAACGCUGCGGUGAAUACGUUCCCGGGGCUUGUACACACCGCCCGUCAAGUCAUGAAAGUUGGUAACACCCGAAGCCGGUGGCCUAACCGUUGUGGGGGAGCCGUCGAAGGUGGGACUGGUGAUUAGGACUAA
rnacentral:rRNA from 1 species